GCAUGAAAUUUUGGGCUGACCUAUUAGCUUCAUAAACUUGGAUGUCCAAAUCCUUCCUCAGGUUUGGGAAGUUCUCAGCCAUUAUUACUUUAAGCCUUCUUUCCCUUUUUCCUCUCUUCUCCUCCUGGGACUCUAAUAAUUCAUAGGUUGUUUGUUGUCUUAUUGGUGUCCCAUAAGUCCCACAGGCUUUCUACAUCCCCUCUUUAUCCUUUUUUCUUUUUGCUCCAUUGACUAGAUACUUUCAAAUGAUCUGUCUUCAAGUUCAUUGAUUCUUCCUUCUGCUUGCUCCAGUUUGAUGUUUAACUCUGUACUGAAUUCUUAGUUACUGUAUUCUGCAGCUCCUAACUUUCAACUUUCUGUUCAGUACUUGUUUAUGUUUUCUCUUUCUUGAACUCAUCAUUUUAUUUUGAUAUUGUUUAUCUGUUCCCCUGUAACUCUCAGCAUUUUUAGAACAACUAUUUCUAAUUCUUUUUCAGGCAGUUCAUAUAUCUCCAUUUCUCUGGGGUGAAUCACUGGGAAUUUACUGUGUUCCUUUGGUGGUAUCAGGUUUCCCUGACUCUGUGCUCCCUGUGGCUCUGGGUCUGGGGCAGAGGGGCAUGAUGUCUUGUUGGCUUAGACCUCUCAGGUCCACAGCAUUGAUAACUGUGGUCCUUGGUGAGUACUCUGGGGGGAUGGGGUGUCUUGAGUGACUUUAAGGGUUUUGGGGUUCAAAUCUUCAGGUACAUCUAGGGAACAGGGCAGGCCACUGUAGUGGCUGGAGCCAGUGGUUCACAAACACGGGUAGUGGCAAGGGCUGGGGCCAACCACAGGUGCAGUAUCAGCUGUUGGGGCACUGGCUCUUGGCAUGCACUCCUGUAAUUGCAGGGUCUUUACGUGGCCUUAUGGCAUUGGAGGCUAAAGUUCGGACUCAGACUGGCAGAAUGCAACCACAUAGCUGGAGCAGCUAAAUGACACUGAGCCCAGCAUUGUAGGCCAGUGAUAGAAGUCAGGGCCAGAUGUGGAACCCAGAGGAUUUGGCCUUGGCUCUAGAGGUGCAUUCCCAUGGCUAAAGCAUCUCACCACAGGUGUGCUAUAGAGGUUGUGAUAUGAGUAGAGCCAGGGGUGUGCAAGAAGAGGUAGCUAAAGUAGAGGUUCAGGCCAGGAACAGGUUAUAUGGCUGAAUCCCAGCCCUCAGGCAUUUUUGGGGGGCCUUGGCUGUCAGUAUGGACUUCCAUGUCUUGCCAAGAAAUAAUUACCAAAUGUCUAUUAUGCACCCUGGCUCUGUUCUAGGUACCAGAAGUAUAGAGGAGACAUAAGAAAGUAUAACCAAAGGACUUGAUCCAAUUUUUUGGAUUGAUGGUCAGUGAACAUCCUCCAAGAAGAAGAAGUGAUAUUUGAUCUGAGAGCUAAAAGUCUACUGCAAGCACCUGAUUAUCAGGUGCAUCCCUGAUGAAGCUACCACAAAACUGGAGACAACUGCUCACUGGAGAUUAAGGAAGGAUAAGGAGUCCAUAAGAUGGAGCCCUGAGGUCAAAGUCAAGAUUUAUAGAUUGGAAACCUCACACCAAUCCCAGAGAAGUCAUUUGGAUCACUCUGGGGCACAAUGUCCUCAUUUAUAAAAUGAUAGCGGUGGGACUGAUGAUAAUGAAAGGUCUCUUCCUACCUAAUUCUCAGUGAUUCUUCUGAUCUUACAUUACAUAUCACUCUUGGAUGUUAGAAUAAAUUUGUUAUGGCAGAAAAUUUUAUUUUUCUUUGAGCCCACAAAUCCUUGAAGAGGUCAGCAAACACUUGCUUUUAGAUAAUACGGCACAGCUAGAAUAACCAAGGGCUUUAAUUUUCAAGCACUGUAGUUUUUUCCUCAAGAAGAGAGCUCUUGGUCAUAGACAAAACAAAUCUCUUUACUCCCCAAACAGUCAGGACAGAAAGACAAUCAUUAAUAACAAUCUUUCAGGAGAAUGACUAACAAUGAUCCUCCAAAGUUCAGCCUUUAUGUAUGUUAGUGAGAAAGAUUUAAAUAGCUGAGCCCUUUUGAAUAAAGUUUAAUGUGUAUAAAAUAUCCUGCUAAAUUAAGAUUAAAUGUUAAAAAGCUUGGCUUUUA